rnacentral:tRNA from 1 species
ACUAAGGUAGCUUAUAUCAUAAAGCUUUAUCUUGAAGGGAUAAAUAAGGAGGCUUACUCUCAUUAGUA